GUUGUUCUUUGGCUCGGUGCACACUCGACAGUUUUGUCCCGCGAGAGAGCGACUCUCGACAGCAGUCACGAGUUAGCGGACACAUGAAUGCGAGUAAUUAUUGAUGGAUAUUCGGUCGAGAGCUUUAUUCUCCAAGAAUAACUCUUAAUAGUGAGUGUCGUCGAUGGACGGAGACUGGAGAGAGACGAUCAGUGCACGUUCCUAUAAGACUUGAACGUUGCGAGUGCGAGUCUCGAUAGCAUACGUCGGAAUUGAGCAUGACUGUCGAUGAUUGUGGAUGGAGAGUGUUAUUCUUCGGCAUCUAAUGUCAACAGCAACAGUCAUCGAAGCAAAUGCCAAAUUUAAAAAACGAUGUUGCACGAUGUCGUCAGAUUCUUUUUACGUCGGAUGACGCAUCUCUAAAAUAAACUGGUGCUACGUAACAGGAAAGACACGUUGCAACAAGGAAAGAUCGGUUAGCACUAACCGAUCUUAUAAAUGUACAAUUCAGGGCUCAAGUUGAUAUUUUGAAUUGCACUACAUUUAAUGCAACUUCUUCGAAGAAAGAAACAUUAAAUCUCUGAGAAAAUUCAGACUUAUAGUCGGACAUCGCCAAUUAAACAGGAGAAUCGAUAUUAUGAUUGAAGACACGACUAUCAUUUAGACGAUCGAAUCUUUCUCGAGACGAGAUCAAGAAUCGGCGGUUUCAGCUCGAAAUGAGACCUCGCGACCGAGUGAAAUUACGCUCGAGCGGAGAACGGCGAUCUUGGUUGCGAUCGACGAGCUGCAGCGACCUAACCUAGCGCGCGAUACCAGCAAGCUCUCCCGCAGGAUCAAUGCGGACUAUCAACCCUCGGCGCUAUCGAGCGAGCGAGCGAGCCGCGACAGUAACGGGGUAACGCGUCGAUCGCUGACUACGUCGAGCGAGCCUCGACGAGGACGAAGCCCGUGAGCGUCACGAGAAAUCACGGUUGCUCGCGUCGUGAACAUUGCGCCGCAAUGUUGGGCACAAUGUUGCCAAGCGCUAUCGUCAACGAGUGCUGCAGGCGGUCGAUGAAUGCGAGACGCGGAGAAAUCUGGCGGCGCUAGGGAACGGAAAAAAGGAAGAAACUAUCGUGUCGCUUUCAAAUGAAGCGACGGGUUUAUAAUGAACUCGCAUCAUUUAUAUGUACACAUUUUCUAAUAAAAACUUCAGUUUUGACUCGAACAUAAUGUUCUCACAUCAUGAAUAUUUA